GGGGACAGCGUUUUGGAUUCACUAAACCAAGUGUGAUUAUUUUGCUCCCAUGGCCGCAAUUUUCACUCCACAGCCAUAAAAAAAUACAUCAAAAUGGAGGUACACGCGUCCUGCUUCUCACAAAAUAGGUCUGAAGUUAUCAAAUUGUACCGCUUGCCCAGGAGGUGAGUACAUUCCUUAGGAGCCAGAGAUUCUGCCCAUUAACUCCCAUGUUAAAUUUUGGCCAAGAAACCCGACAAACACUACAGUGAAGCCGUUCUUAACUCGCUGUUGUGGCCACAUUUUUUCCACUAUGGACAUAAAAAAAUAUAUCAUUGUGUUCAUGAGAGUGUCAGGACUCCUAAGAUGGUCUUAUUUUUCUUAUGACUUAUGGAAAUUGCACUAGGGAAAAAGUUCAGAUGGUUUCUCAGUGCUCUCGCGAUAUCUGCACUUCUCUGGGCUGUUUGCUUUUGAUCACACACGCACACGAGUUCUUGUCUUUAACUCUUUUAACAUAUUAACUACUUAUUAUUCUUCUACUUCUGCUGUUCUUUACUGUCUACAUUUAUACAAUUAAUUUAACUUCAGCUGUUUCAUACUACGUUCGUACGUAGGGCAGUAACUGAAGCACGGCAAUAGAUGGUGCUGUUCUGCAUUCUCAAGUUACUAUGGUUGGAUGCUGCAGACUGCAGAAAUCUGUUUUACUAUUUGUACAUUUAAUUGGAACAUUGUUACACAUUAUUUUAAGGCAUUUGUUUUUCAAAUUCAAUUAUCCUUAUUAUCAGUUCGAUUUAUUCACAUCAAUCAUAUACGUUUUUCACUUUGGUUAUUAGAUAAUUUGUACAUUUAUCCUACUUAUUUACCUUCAGCUAUACUACAGUUUUUCCAUACCUUACUCCAUUUUUUAUUGGCAGUUUAGCAUUGCUUUUUCGGCUCUCAGCACUCAGCAUUUCCAUGCAUUUUCUGCAAGGAAAUGCAAUUUGUCUAGUUUUGUUUGAUAUCCUGGUCCAUCAGUCUCUUUGAAGUGUGUGCGUCCUAAGUUAUGCUUUGGUACAAUUUCACAGUCUUUGAUCCUCUGUCAUCUGUAGUGUCCAACAAUAUCACAAUUAGUGUCUGGCAGAUGUAAAGUGUCAUAGGAGCAGAAAAGAUGCAGCUUUGAUAAUACAAACAUAAUUCCGAGGACACAGAGAAAUGAGACAUUGAACUUUGAUUGGAGGAGGUGUGGCGUCUUUUUCACACUCUCAGUGAAACUAAGACAGAUCAAAGAGCAUGAUGCAGCCCGGCUGAAACACACUCGCAACAGUUUCAAACUUUAAAUAUGUGACCUUAACAAAGUCUGGGACAGGACAUAUUCUCAUGCUUUUUAGACUCUGCUUUUGGCUAUUGUUAGAACCUAGAGUGUAAAUCAUCAGCUUAUUCUUAAUGCAAUAUCAUAUCAAUUCUUUGCUGUUUUCUGGCAUUUUAGUCAACAACAAACACCCGUAUCUCUCUUUAAAGUUUUAUAAUCUUCAGGUUUAUAAUCAAAUGUUUGAUCCUUUCACAAUAAAGGCCCCUGCUCACAUUUGAAAUAUGUACAUAGACACAGGGCCAUUUUGAUACCCCAGACAGGAUAAAAGCCAAGGGUGAGAGCCAGGUAAAUGAUGAGAAACAACAUGAGUUUAUUGCUGUUCAUUUUUGCUGUUUUUAUUUAUUUAUUUGUUUUAAAGACAGAAAAUUAGGAAAUGGUGCCAAGGGGCAGCGCAAAUUAUACUUAAACAAAUUACGAGGGUGCUAGGUGCCUCUCCAGCAUGUGGCACUCUAGGCAACCACGGAUAUCACCAAGAGCAGGCCACUGCAUAGACAUGCUGGUUGUGUUAACAUACAUGAGGCAACCCUCAUAACUGUGGCUGGCUGUGCUGUGGUUGACACUUACAACCACAGCACCAGGGGGAUGGUAGAUGGAGAGCCACAGUGAGGAUCAGUCAUAGUAAAUUAUUGAAGAUGACAAUUGUUAGUGCAGCAGAGACAUUAGAUAACUGUCAACAGCCAAGAAAUACAGUGUUACGCAGUGUAAUGCCUGAAGAUGGCAAAUCCUAUAAUAUUGUGCCAAAAUGAGGUUCUACUGUUGUAACUGUGUGUCCCAUAUAUGGCGGCUGUGGUCCUUGAAAGGGAGACCCGGUUUUCAUUCCAGCCCUUUCUUAAAUUUCGUUCCCUGCUCUUUCUUCCACUUCUCUCAUCUGUCCUUUAUCCUGUCCAGCCAAACUAAAGGCAAAAGCUCCCAAAAUACUGUGUUGUUAUUUUGUUUUUAAAUGGAAGUGAGAUUACACUUGUGAAGAUAAAUCUGGUUAUGGUUAACUGCAAGGUUGUGUCACUUCAUUGAUCUGUUUGAUUCUUUUGACAAAUCCUUAAAGCUGAUUCUUACUCUAAAACUUGAGAGCUCUAGACUGAUCCUGUGACAGAUCAUAUCCAGUUACCAGCUGUAGCCAGCAGGAGGCGACCUUUCCUCAUGUCCCUCAUCGCACUCACGUCCUUACCUCCCUCCUUUUCUUUCCCUCUUUCUCUCUCACACUGAGGCCGGCUGCCACACUCUCCUCGUGUCCUAGCAACCACAGAACCCUGCCUCCAAUCACUACGGAUACCGGGAGGGACGGAGGGAGGGAGGGUGUGAAACAGGAAGAGAGAGAAGAAGAGGAAGAGGAGGAGGAGAAGUGGCUGGAUAAGCAUCGGCACCUCAAACAGUUAAACCAAAAGUAUGCAAAAAAAAAAAAAGAAGAUAAAAAUGAGUCAGUUUUCAGAGACAUACUGAGAUAAAAAAUUUGUGAGUGUUAGAGGGGAAUGGACAGUCCUUAAACCAUCAGCUGACCAUUUGAUUGUGUUAUAGCCUCUGGGAGUGAUGGUGAACUUCUAAAGCAUUUAAUUUGACAAUAAAAAUGUCCUCCCCUUUUCUAUGCAGCGCUAUUUACAGUCCAAUUAGCAAUUUGAUUAGCGACGACAUGUUUUGGAUCAAGAGCUGAGUCAAGUUCACCACACCAGUUAGGUCUGCAGAAUACUCUUGAUCAUUUAUUGGUUCAUCUUAUCUCCCUGAGUGGCACCUGCUUUAUGGAUUUGUUACUCAUGAGUCUCAGUGCCACUGUAAAAACUAAAUCACAGAAAGUUUCACCCUUGUUUAUAAGUGACAUGACCUCAACAAAAGGUAGCUUGUGAUUUACUCGCUGUAAAACCUUGUCAUUUCUCAGUUCUAUAAAUCCUCUGUAUGUAGUGCAAAGUUAUUUGUUUCUGGUGAGUCUCAGUUUUACUGUUGAUAGCAAGUUAUGAAAUGUUUUUCUCAGUGGUAUGAACCUGGAAAAUAGAUUUUCUUGUGAUGCACUUGUGGUGGGUUUACUUCCAAUAAAACCUUGUAAUUUCGUAGUUCUUUAAAUACCCCAAUGAGCAGCACCAGCUCACCUGUUUCUAGUGAGUCUCAGUUUCUUUGUAAAUAAUAACUUAUAAAAGGGUGUCCUCUAUUAGUGAGCUGCAGCAGGGUGGAGACGGAAAGCUUUUUUAGAUGCACCUUACUGAAGCCAAAGUUCUUGGCAGUCCAGCCAGAACAACGACACUUCCUUGUUGCUUGAUCACAUGUCACUCAAUGGUCCAAUCAGAGGCUUGGAUGUAGGGAAAGCCAUUGAAACCACAAAAGUACAUUCAACAUAUUUGGUACAGAUGCUGAAAGUGUUUUAAAAUAGUGAAUAUUCAAAGUUUUUAUAAACUUACAAUUCAUUGUUCUUCCUCCUCCUUCAGCAGCUGUUUGCACCCGCUCAUCUUUCUCUUCUUUCGCUCUCAUCCACCUUCUCCUGGAGACCAUUAAAUUUGAUGGUGCCAUCAUCAUCCUCCUUCUGUCCUUGUGACUCGUGGUGACCCUCUGUGCUUUAUUACUCCACUCUUUCACAGGAGGGUGGGGGUCAUCACUGCAGUGAUCUAUGUUUCUGUCACACAUAUGAGCUGUGCAUGAACGUUUGUGCACUUUAGCAGGGUCUGAAUCCUCCUUGAAAACCCUACAUCUUCUCUGUAAAAAUAUCAGUGAAAUGAAAAAGUUAAGAUUCAACAUAUGGAGGAAUCGAUCUGCUUUACUUUAACAGGAGGUAACAAUAAUGGACUAGAGUAACGCAACUCCACCAUAAAGAAACAGUUUUAAAGCAACAAAGCUUCAGAGAGGUUAUUCUCUACCCAUCUCUGUAGUUGUGAUUUUUUUUUUUUUUUUUUUUUAGAUUUCACAUCUCUUACCAGUCAAAAGUUAAAUUUCUUCAAAGUAAAUUCUUGAAGUUAAAGAUUAUUAUCCAUAAGUCCAAUCAGACUUGCUUUACAGUCAUGCAAACCACUAUGUUUUCCUUGCAGGGCUUGCUUGUUUGGAUCUUAUCAUUUUUCCAUGAUAUUAAAUUUUAAAAGCUUAGCUUAGACUUCAGUGCAAGGAAAGAAAUUCAUUCAUACUUCAAAAUGGAGAGUUCCUGUCUGGGAUUGAACCAUUCAGUUGCAUGGCAGCAGUUCUAACCACUACACCAUUGGGCUGCUAAGAGUGCUGAAGUUUCUACCUCAUUACAGUACCUCAAGAUAUUUGGUCUACACUUUAAUGAAAGUCACAAUGGACUUUUUGGAAAGAUACCACCAAUGAAAAACAGUUAAAAGGAUGAUUCUAAAGUAUAAAUAUUCAAUUGACCAGUGUUACAACCCAGCGAGAGUCUAGGGAAAAGGGAGUCAACACUAAGCACCAGUGUUGAUAAUAGUGGGGUGAUAUAUUUAUUUCAAGUAAACCAACAAGAGAACGUGUUAAAACAACAACAAAAGCUGACUCAUCUGACAAACAAAAAUGCAAGUCUGGCUCCACCUAUAAACUUCUAAUCAGUCACUCCACUAAAAAGUACCGAGGUAACAAAAGUAGAUUAAAUAAUGCUACCAGAUAUUCAAGAGAUACACAAAGCAACUCUGGUGAAGCUGACUCUUCCACAGAUGGGUCAGAAAGUCAUUUAUGUAAGUUCUGGAGGGAAAUCUGAACGUUGCUUCAGCUAGCUUACUGGCAGUUUUCUUCAUCUUCUUCGUCUAUCCUCUGUUUUAUGAUGUGUGGCAACCAGCAUAUAUACCACUACUAUUUUUGUAAGCAUCAAUACCAAUAUACUGUGACAGCUCUAGUUGAAACUGUGAAAAGUUUCCUUCUAAUUUAAAGGAAUAGUUGGUAAAUGGUAAAUAAAUAAAGUGAAAUGAGUAUGUUCUCAAAAUCAAUUGACUGAAUAGGUUAGCAGAAUCACUUUUAUGGUGGAAAAUACAAAUUCAAAAAGAUUUCAACUCAGUUAAAGAAUAUGGGAUGCAGAGUUUAUGUCACAAUGAAAUUUAGAUAGAAAACAAAAGGAGAGAAAAUCAAUUCAUCUGAAGAGAUCUACUCUGUUAAUUUAAGUUUGAUGGCACUUUGGAUCUAGGGGCUGUGGCUCAGUGGUAGAGUUGGUUGUCUUCCUAUCCGAAGGUUUGAUCUCAGGUCCGGCUGUCUACAUGCCAAGGUGUCCUGGGGCUAGACACUUGACUCCACCCACCCUAACUGGUUGUGCCAAAUGGGUGUGAAUAGGAUUAGUCAGAAACUGAUGAACUCUAUACAAAGCAGCCCCUGCCGUUAGUGUGUGAAUGAGUGAAUGUGUCACGUAAUGUAAAAAGCACUUUGAGUGGGCAGAAGACUGGAGAAAUGGAUAUAAGAAAAAAACAGCCCAUCUGAUCAUUUUCCAUCCUAGGCUAACUAUGACCUAGAUGAAUGAGAACCUACAUGGACAUAGUGCAAAUGAUACUCUGCUGCUAGAACAAACUGUUUGAUUUUUUAUAUGUCAGAUGUCUGACUGAACUGGCUUUUGUUACCAACAUUAAACAGAAAAAUAUAAAGACUAAUUAGUUAUUCAAUUAUGGUAGACGUUGGACUGUUUUUAUCCUUCUUCCUGUGUAAGCUUUUACGACGCACCCACUAUGUUAAGGGUCGGUUUUGACCUGACCUUAAAUCAGCUGUAAAUGACACUAAAAACAUUUCUCUAUCAUCCAGUUUGGUUCUUAUCUCUAGGUUACCCGGUAUAGCUUCAUUAUCCAUGAAAAUAUUGCUUAUAAUACUUUUGUUGUGGUCCUCUGGGCCUUUCUUUGUCAGUAUACCCCUCAUACAGACACCUGUACUGAACUGAUCUCACAUGUCUGGACAUGCCCGACAUUGUUUUUUGUGCAGGGAAAAACAUGGCAAAAUGAGAAUUUCCUAAAUCUCACAUGAUUGGAAGAGGAUCUGACUGUCAGUGUGGUGCCUGACAGUGCACUUAUGAUUUCAGUUUUUGCUCUAAUUGCUCUAAUUAUUAGAUAUUGAUCUAACCGGGUCAACAGCAACCCUAACAUGACAAGUGCCAUAAUUUUAAUAAGAGCAUUGUAUAAUUGAGUAAAUUAAAUUUUUUAAUUUUUAUUUUGUUGAAAUAGAGGUUCCUGACAAAGUCAAAAAGUCUUGAUGCCAAAAAAGCUAAGGUAAGUGGUUCUUUUAAGCAUUUAAAAUCAAAAACGGGUCGGUGCAGACCCUAACACAGGAGGAGGGUUAAAAUAAGAUUUUAAUAAACUGCAGUUAAACUUCUCUCACAACAGCAUCUAUGUCAGAUGAGAUGUGCUUCAACAACACACAAACAUUCAUCCUUUGAAGAAAUGAGUCCCAGCAAGAGCAAUGCAUUAAUGUACGGCUGCAAAACUUAAACUCAGAGCCACACAAGAGAUGAAGGAGGGAGAGGAGAAGAGAGAGGAGGGAGGGUUGGAGGGAAGAUGUGUAUGUCUGUGUGUGCGCGUGUGUGUGUGCAAAAAAAAAGAAAACGCUGGCUGCUGUUUCCGAGGCAACCAUCUCUUUCCCCUCUCCUCUUUAACCCUUUCUUCUCAGCACUUUCUUUUCACCUUCUGUCUCUUUUACCAUCGCAGUGAUCUCUCACUUUUUCAUGUCCUCUCACUCCAUCUGUCUGCUCCUCUCUCAUCUCCUUCACUUCGUCCACUUCUCUCCUCACUGUAUGAAAUCUUGAUUCGUGAUGCAUCCCGUCCCACCUUCAUCUUGAUUAUUCAUCCUCAUGUCAGAACACCUGUCGUUGUAUCUGUGUACGGGCGCUUUGUUAACUCUGAGUCAUUCUCUGCUGCAGAAUGGUCACAAAUUGUGGUGAACUGUGUUGGAUAUGAGGAAGUCAUUGUGAAGCUGCAGGUGUUGGAUGGUUUUAAAAGCUGUCAUAUUCUGCAACAACGUGGAUGCUGAGGACAGCGAAGAAUUUGAAAUGUUGGACGAUAAAUGUGGAAAAAUUUCAGUUCCUUGAGUGACCACUUCAGGCUGUCUCCCAAAAGAAGUCACUUCCUAUUAAGCCUCAUAUUACACGUUUGUAUGAGCUUUUUAUGCCUCAGCUUAGAUGAUAGGCUCGUAAUAGAGUAAAAAACUAAAAGAGAGACCAAAGGAAGGACACAGAGCAAAAGGCCUCUGUUUGAGUUCGAACCAUAGACUGUAUAUACUAUGGACAACUUAGUUCCGCCUUCUACCUGUAUACGGAUUUGAAGCCAAAAAGCUGCGUUUUUUUCUCCACUUCCUGAAACCAACAUUGCGCAGUAGCGUUGUUCACAUUUUGCGGGAGAGUUGCUGAGAGUCGCUGUGAUGACGCUCGGCUCAAACAGCGUAUCUCCAGCUGAGCUACGCAAUUCUUGUACGCCCAUAGGCUGUAUCAAGUGUCAAUCAUAAGAAACAUGAACUUUUAAAAAUGGAGCUGUACAGAAAAGAGGACUUGAGCACAAACCAGUCUUCCAAUAACUACAUGUCAACAUCGCAAGCAGGGGAGAGAAAAAUUUAUGUUCUGACUAAUAAAUUUUUAAAGUUUGUCAACAGCACCUUAGGGAUUGCUGGAGGAGGUGGGAUUUAUGACCUAUACUACGUCACCAGAGUGUGCUGUUCUCGGAGUGGCUUCAUCCAGCGAGGAGGCAGACGGAGUCCAUUCUACAUACAGUCUAUGGUUCAAACAUUGGGGUGGACAUGGCACUCCGAGUCAAAAAAACAAACAAACAAAAAAAAAACAUCAGUUUCCUCUCUUUGUGCUUGUGCCAGGCUAAAUAACACCAACAUGGAUAGGCAUGAAAGUGUAGUUCUUCAAGUGUCCACUUGUGGUCAGCAACAAAAGCCAAAGAUUCCUCAUUGAGUCUCAUACCAAAAUGACAAAUUUUCCUGUAAAAUUAAACAUGUUUACAGAUGGUUUUGGAAACAUAGCUUAUCUAUUUAUUAUAUGCACUGUAUGGUGGUUGAAUGCCUUUCAAUGCUUAAUUA